rnacentral:rRNA from 1 species
GAUGAACGCUAGCGGGAGGCCUAACACAUGCAAGCCGAGCGGUAGAGUUUCUUCGGAAACUUGAGAGCGGCGCACGGGUGCGUAACACGUGUGCAACCUACCUUUAUCUGGGGGAUAGCCUUUCGAAAGGAAGAUUAAUACCCCAUAAUAUAAUGAUUGGCAUCAAUUAUUAUUGAAAACUCCGGUGGAUAGAGAUGGGCACGCGCAAGAUUAGAUAGUUGGUGAGGUAACGGCUCACCAAGUCAAUGAUCUUUAGGGGUCCUGAGAGGGAGAUCCCCCACACUGGUACUGAGACACGGGCCAGACUCCUACGGGAGGCAGCAGUGAGGAAUAUUGGACAAUGGGUGAGAGCCUGAUCCAGCCAUCCCGCGUGAAGGAUGACGGUCCUAUGGAUUGUAAACUUCUUUUGUACAGGGAUAAACCUACCCUCGUGAGGGUAGCUGAAGGUACUGUACGAAUAAGCACCGGCUAACUCCGUG